GAUGAACGCUGGCGGCGUGCCUAAUACAUGCAAGUCGAGCGAACAGAUGAGAAGCUUGCUUCUCUGAUGUUAGCGGCGGACGGGUGAGUAACACGUGGGUAACCUACCUAUAAGACUGGGAUAACUCCGGGAAACCGGGGCUAAUACCGGAUAAUAUUUUGAACCGCAUGGUUCAAUAGUGAAAGACGGCUUCGGCUGUCACUUAUAGAUGGACCCGAGCCGUAUUAGCUAGUUGGUAAGGUAACGGCUUACCAAGGCGACGAUACGUAGCCGACCUGAGAGAGUGAUCGGCCAAACUGGAACUGAGACACGGUCCAGACUCCUACGGGAAGCAGCAGUAGGGAAUCUUCCGCAAUGGGCGAAAGCCUGACGGAGCAACGCCGCGUGCGAGAUGAAGGUCUUCGGAUCGUAAAACUCUGUUGUUAGGGAAGAACAAAUUUGUUAGUAACUGAACAAGUCUUGACGGUACCUAACCAGAAAGCCACGGCUAACUACGUGCCAGCCGCCGCAGUAA
rnacentral:rRNA from 1 species